rnacentral:misc_RNA from 1 species
UUUCCGUAGGUGAACCUGCGGAAGGAUCAUUAUUGUAUAACCGAGGUGCGAGGGCCGUCGCUGACCCGAAAGGUCGUGCACGCCCGAGUGCCCUCACACACAUCCAUCUCACCCCUAUGUGCACCACCGCGUGGGUCCCCCUUUGGCUUGUUCGGAGGGGGGCUUACGUUUUCACACAAACUUUGUAUGCAGUGUAGAAUGUAUUUUUUGUUUUUGCGAUCACGCAAUCAAUACAACUUUCAACAACGGAUCUCUUGGUUCUG